rnacentral:rRNA from 1 species
GAUGAACGCUGGCGGCGUGCUUAACACAUGCAAGUCGAACGGAAAGGCUCCUGCUUGCAGGGGUACUCGAUUGCCGAAGGGGUGAGUAAAACGUGGGGGAUCUCCCCUUCACUUCGGGAUAUGCCUGGGAAACUGGGUCUAUUACCGGAUAGAACGUUGUUUUGGAUGCCAUUUUGAAAAGUUUUUCGGUGUGGGAUGAGCUCGCGGCCUAUCAGCUUGUUGGUGGGGUAAUGGCCUACGAAGGCGUCGACGGGUAGCCGGCCUGAGAGGGGGUACGGCCACAUUGGGACUGAGAUACGGCCCAGACUCCUACGGGAGGCAGCAGUGGGGAAUAUUGCACAAUGGGCGCAAGCCUGAUGCAGCGACGCCGCGUGGGGGAUGACGGCCUUCGGGUUGUAAACUCCUUUCGCUAGAGACGAAGCGCAAGUGACGGUACCUGGAGAAGAAGCACCGGCUAACUACGUG